AUUAUCCUAUCAGUCCUGUCAAAAUUCUGUGCCAGCAGACGCGGUAAUACAGAAAGGGCAACCCAUCGGAAUUUUAAAUAGGUGUAAAGGGUACGUAGCCAGUUAUUUUCUAAUAACUAGAGUCAAACAGAGGAACUAACAAUACCUAGAGUAGGGCUGAUAUCUUAUAAUACUAGGGGGAGAACCUAUAGCGAAAGCAUAGUUCUAGAUACUGACUGACGGUAAGGUACGAAGGCUGAGGCAGGAAUAAGGAUUAGAUACCCUAGUACUCUCAGCUGUAAACAAUGCAAAUUAAAGAUAUGUUAUAUUUGGUAUGUCUUGAUGCUAACGCGUUAAAUUUGCCACCUGUAGAGUAUAGUCCCAUGACUGAAAUACAAAUAAUUAGACGGUCUGUGAGCAAACGGAGUGGAGCAUGUUAUUUAAUU
rnacentral:rRNA from 1 species